AGAGCAGAAGGAUGAGAU
rnacentral:miRNA from 1 species